GAUCUAAGAACAUGCGUAUAGGACAUAUGAUGUGCUUCCUAUGCGUAUGUACUUGUCAAUGUGGUGUUACUUGUACGAUGUCGUGAUUGUUGAACAUGUUUUACGUGUUCUUGACGCCUGCCUAAUUUGUUCGGUUCCAAUCUGUUCCAGCAGAGAUGGUCACUUCUGGGCACACCAUCCUUCCUGGCCAAGUCGCGUGGAAAGGCAUCCAAGACACACUUGGCCUUGGAUCACUUGCUGAAAGAAGACCCGCGAGGGGGCAUCUAUUUUGCACGGUUUCUCGUGACACAAAGAGUAUACUGUGUAUCAGCCCUGCAGGGGCAGCAAGCUGAAGAACAGAGCCACAACCUACGAAGAAGUUCUGGGGAUUGUUUCGAAAACAGCAGAAGUAUUCAACAGACUUCACAGAUUUUCCAC